UACGUAGGGUGCGAGCGUUGUCCGGAAUUACUGGGCGUAAAGAGCUCGUAGGUGGUUUGUCACGUCGUCUGUGAAAUUCCGGGGCUUAACCUCGGGCGUGCAGGCGAUACGGGCAAUACUUGAGUGCUGUAGGGGAGACUGGAAUUCCUGGUGUAGCGGUGAAAUGCGCAGAUAUCAGGAGCAACACCAAUGGCGAAGGCAGGUCUCUGGGCAGUUACUGACGCUGAGGAGCGAAAGCAUGGGUAGCGAACAGGAUUA
rnacentral:rRNA from 1 species